AGUGGAUGGGGAGCAACCUAUUUGUGCGUGUGUAAAGGUAGUGCCAAGAAAAGCGAUGAUCAUGUUGAAAAUCAAUUCCCGGUACCCGAAACCGACACAGGUGGGCAAGUAGAGAAUACUAAGGGGCGCGAGGUAACUCUCUCCAAGGAACUCGGCAAAAUGACCCCGUAACUUAGGGAGAAGGGGUGCCACCGAGAGGUGGUCGCAGUGAAGAGGCCCAGGCGACUGUCUAGCAAAAACAUAGGUCUCUGCAAACUCGAAAGAGGAGGUAUAGGGGCUGACGCCUGCCCAGUGCCGGAAGGUUAAAGAAGUUUGUCAGUCUUAGGAUGAAGCUAGCGACUGAAGCCCCGGUGAACGGCGGCCGUAACUAUAACGGUCCUAAGGUAGCGAAAUUCCUUGUCGGGUAAGUUCCGACCCGCACGAAAGGCGUACGGAUCUGGGCGCUGUCUCGGAGAGAGGCUCGGCGAAAUAGGAUUGUCUGUGAAGAUACGGACUACCUGCAUUUGGACAGAAAGACCCUAUGAAGCUUUACUAUAGCUUGGAAUUGUGUUCGGGCUUCCUGUGCGCAGGAUAGGUGGGAGGCGUAGAAGGUAUUCUUGUGGGGAUACUGGAGCCAACGGUGAGAUACCACUCUCAGGAGGCUAGAAUUCUAACUUAAUUAAGGACAGUUUCAGGUGGGUAGUUUGACUGGGGCGGUCGCCUCCAAAAAGGUAACGGAGGCGUACAAAGGUUCCCUCAGACUGGUUGGAAAUCAGUCGAAGAGUGCAAAGGCAGAAGGGAGCUUGACUGCGAGAAGUACAGUUCGAGCAGGGUGGAAACACGGUCUUAGUGAUCCGACGGUGCUGUGUGGAAGGGCCGUCGCUCAACGGAUAAAAGUUACUCUAGGAUAACAGGCUGAUCUCCCCCAAGAGUUCACAUUGACGGGGAGGUUUGGCACCUCGAUGUCGGCUCAUCGCAACCUGGGGCGGAAGUACGUCCCAAGGGUUGGGCUGUUCGCCCAUUAAAGCGGUACGUGAGCUGGGUUCAGAACGUCGUGAGACAGUUCGGUCCAUAUCCGAUGUAGGCGUGAGAAUAUUGAGAGGAGCCUUCCUUAGUACGAGAGGACCGGGAAGGACGCACCGCUGGUGUACCUGUUAUGAUGCCAAUUGUAAACGCAGGGUAGCCAAGUGCGGAGAGGAUAACCGCUGAAAGCAUCUAAGUGGGAAGCCCACCUCAAGAUGAGUAUUCUGGUGUAAGGUCACGGGAAGACGACCCGUAAAUAGGCACGAGGUGGAAGUGCAGAGAUGUAUGAAGCCGAAGUGUACUAAUAGACCGUCGGCUUGACC
rnacentral:rRNA from 1 species